GGGAAACUGGAAAGCAAGGACAAAGUUUGGGACAAUAUACCUAUGAUGGUAGAACGUACCUAAAAGUCCUAUUUUGGCUACGAGACCAGACUGAGAAAAACUGCUUCAACUGCCGCAUGCAUGGACAUAUUACAUAUAGCUAUCCUGAGAGUGAAGAGACAAUACAAUGUGACAUAGUAAUAAGGGUUCUGUAUAGGAUUGUAUUGACUUGCUUAAAGAUGUGUAUGGUGACUGGUGGUGGUGUUACAG